GCAAACUUGGUCAUUUAGAGGAAGUAAAAGUCGUAACAAGGUUUCCGUAGGUGAACCUGCGGAAGGAUCAUUACCGAGUGUUAGGGUUCUUUUGAGCCCGACCUCCAACCCUCUGUCUACAGAACUCUUUGUUGCCUCGGUGAGCCGUUGACGUGAAAGCGUCGCCGUCGGUUGGGCUUUCCUGCCUGACUCUCGAGUGCUCGCCGCGGGAUUUUUUCAAACACUCUUUUGAAAACCAGUCUUCUGAGUUGAAUUGAGAAAUUAUUAAAAAACUUUCAACAACGGAUCUCUUGGUUCUGGCAUCGAUGAAGAACGCAGC
rnacentral:misc_RNA from 1 species